rnacentral:misc_RNA from 1 species
GAUGAAGAACGUAGCGAAAUGCGAUACGUAAUGUGAAUUGCAGAAUUCAGUGAAUCAUCGAGUCUUUGAACGCACAUUGCGCCCCCUGGUAUUCCGGGGGGCAUGCCUGUCCGAGCGUCAUUUCAACCCUCAAGCCCCGCUUGGUGUUGGGCCCCGCCCGCUGUGGCCGGCCCUAAAGACAGUGGCGGCGCCGCCUGGCCCUCAGCGUAGUACAUCUCUCGCUCCAGGGUCCGGUGGCCGCCUGCCAGAACCCCCCAACUCUGUGGUUGACCUCGGAUCAGGUAGGGAUACCCGCUGAACUUAAGCAUAUCAAUAAGCGGAGGA